rnacentral:rRNA from 1 species
AUUGAACGCUGGCGGCAGGCCUAACACAUGCAAGUCGAGCGGAUGAGUGGAGCUUGCUCCAUGAUUCAGCGGCGGACGGGUGAGUAAUGCCUAGGAAUCUGCCUGGUAGUGGGGGACAACGUUUCGAAAGGAACGCUAAUACCGCAUACGUCCUACGGGAGAAAGCAGGGGACCUUCGGGCCUUGCGCUAUCAGAUGAGCCUAGGUCGGAUUAGCUAGUAGGUGAGGUAAUGGCUCACCUAGGCGACGAUCCGUAACUGGUCUGAGAGGAUGAUCAGGCACACUGGAACUGAGACACGGUCCAGACUCCUACGGGAGGCAGCAGUGGGGAAUAUUGGACAAUGGGCGAAAGCCUGAUCCAGCCAUGCCGCGUGUGUGAAGAAGGUCUUCGGAUUGUAAAGCACUUUAAGUUGGGAGGAAGGGCAGUAAGUUAAUACCUUGCUGUUUUGACGUUACCAACAGAAUAAGCACCGGCUAACUUCGUGCCAGCCGCCGCCGUAAGAC